ensembl:lncRNA
AUGGGGGAGCCAAGAGCACACAGGCCUGUGAGUCCAGAGCCACUUGGGAACGGUGAAGUGAUGGCCUAUCACCAUCUCCUUGAGAAGGACAUUGUGAUCCUGUGCACAAAGAGAGGGUUACGCAUGGGGAAAUUCAACAAGGCACAGUUAAUCGUGCAGUUGGAGGAGAAGCACCGCUCUGAGGAGCAGAUUCCUGGCCCAGAUGGGGCUACAAGAGGAUCUGAGAGCAGCUGGAGCAUCAGCCAGGCAUCCCUGGGAGUCUGGUCCACAAUCAGACGAGGGUCUUCACGAUUGGGUUCCCCAUCAGGAGAUUGGAGACGGAUGGGAUGGGAGCAGAGCCCGAGAGAGCGAGAGGACCGUGAGAGAAAGCAAGAGCCCGAGGAAAAGCUGCAGGAGAAGCAGCAGCAGCGUGGACUGGUGAUGGUGGAGCAGAGAGACAUAGGGGGCUGCCCAGGGGUCAGUGGGGAAACACGCCUGCAGGGGCGAGACCCUGGGACAGAGAGAACUGUGGUGGUGCAGCCCCAGAUGCUGAGGGACUGUGGGACCUGGGUGAAGUUCCCUGGGGUGAGGCCCCUCGGCCUGCCUAUGGCCCAGAUCCCUGUGCAGACCCAGAAGGGGUCGGGCUGGCUGGUAGUUGGGGUUCUCCAGGAUAUCGGCUGGGAGGCCCUGUUGGGGGGUGACUGUCUCCCCAUGGGACAGGAUCCAGGCUCCGCUCCUGUAACGGCCGAGGGUUUGAAUUCAAAUCCAGGGAACCAAUUGGCUAGGAUGGAAAUGGUCAGUGAAAACGCAAAUAACCUGGCUGGCAGGGGAGAGGUGCUGCUGGGCUCAGGACACCUGCCUACCUAUAACCAGCCCCCUGGGACUGAGAGGGAGGGAGAGAUGCUCCCCGCCCCCCUGCACACUGGAGAGGGGGCUCACGCUGGCUCUGAUGCUGUGACCAGAGCAGAGAGCUCGCUGCCUGGCCCCACUGGGACAGCAAGUGCAGCGCUGAGCACGGGGGGAGCUGAGAUCCUAGCUGAGUGGGGGGACACCUGGGCAGGGCAGGUCGGCUGCCAAACAGGUUUGCCUGGUCCAGACGUGCUGCUGGGAAGUGAUUGCACAGCAGGGAGGGAGCUACCAGGGACAGGGCUCAGGGGGGCUGUGACCCCAGGUCCAGCCAGCGAGAGGGAGCAGGUCCCACUCCCUGCCCCAGCAGCUGGAUCCCAGACCGAGCUGCAGAAGGAUCCCUCCUUGGAGAAGCUGAGGGAACUUGCUGGCCACAGCGCUGCAAACCCCCUUGGGGAAGGCUGCAGGGACAGAGUCCUGCAGGAGGAGGGAUUCCUGUCCUGGGAAUGGGCUCCCCAAGGGGAAGUAGAACUGGGGGAAAUCAGGAGGCAGCUGGUGGUACCCCAGGAAUCCCCAAGGUUCUUCCCAUUUGAGCUGCUGGAUGGGAGGAGAGUGAGGGGACCCCUGGACCUGAAGAGGGAGGAUUGGAUGGAGAGGGGGGAAGACCCCCAGGGGGAUCUCUUCACUGAGAUAGGAGCCAAUCUCCCCAUCAGGUGUUCCCCAUUCAGAGUCACUGGGAAAGCAGCCCAGAACCUGGAGAGAGAGGUCAAGCACCGGCUGGCUUUAGAUGGGAUCCAGCCGUUUUACAGCCCAUGGGCCUCACCCAUGGGGCUGAUCCCCAAGGGAGACAGGAAGGCCUGGUUUUAUGGGGGCUAUCAGAAGCUUAAAGCCAUCACAGAGUCCGAUGCCCACAUCUUUAGCCAGACCUGGGAGGAACAGGUGUCCCAGGUGAAGAGGAGGCUGGGCUGCCUCAAGGAGGUGGGACUGACAUUAAAAGCUGGAAAGUGCAAGGGGGGACGGCAGAGGUGUUGUAUCUGGGCCACAAAGUGGGAAGCGGCUGCCCAAGCCCAGAGCUGGCCAAGGCCAAGAUGGGGGCUCUUAACCAAGAGAGCCCGAAUCACAGACCGGAGGGCUGGGAAAAGACCCAAUCCCAGCUUGAACCCCAGGGGUACUGGGGUGGCAAAAGGGUUCAAGCUGCAUAAAUCUUCCCACAUGCGGCCUGCAAGUGCCAUCAAGCACACCCGACCUAAGGGAGGGCGUAAGACUGGACUGUCCUGGUGUAACUCACACCAAGGAAUGGGAGAGAUGCUGGGGCAUCCAUGGGAACCUUGGUGGGUUCGAACUUCCCCAGGUCACUGGCUGUAG